GCUCAGAGCGAACGCUGGCGGCAGGCCUAACACAUGCAAGUCGAGCGCUCUCUUCGGAGGGAGCGGCGGACGGGUGAGUAACGCGUGGGAACGUGCCCUUCUCUAUGGAAUAGCCACUGGAAACGGUGAGUAAUACCAUAUACGCCCUUCGGGGGAAAGAUUUAUCGGAGAAGGAUCGGCCCGCGUUAGAUUAGGUAGUUGGUGGGGUAAUGGCCUACCAAGCCUACGAUCUAUAGCUGGUUUUAGAGGAUGAUCAGCCACACUGGGACUGAGACACGGCCCAGACUCCUACGGGAGGCAGCAGUGGGGAAUCUUAGACAAUGGGCGCAAGCCUGAUCUAGCCAUGCCGCGUGAGUGAUGAAGGCCUU
rnacentral:rRNA from 1 species